GAUGAACGCUGGCGGCGUGCCUAAUACAUGCAAGUCGAGCGGAAGGACGAGGAUCUUGCUUCUCUCAUGUUAGCGGAAGACGGGUGAGUAACACGUGGAUCACCUACCUAUAAGACUGGGAAAACCUCGGGAAACCGGAGAUAAUAGCAGAUAAGAUUUUGAUGCACGUUGUUCAAAAGAGAAAGACGGUCUUGCUGUCAGUUCUAGAUGCAUACGAGCUGCAUUAGCUAGUUGGUAAGUUCAAGGAUUACCAAGGCAACGAGGCAUAGCCGACCUAAGAGGGUGAUCGGCCGCCCUGGAACUUAGACACGGUCCAGACGCCUACGAUAGGCAGCAGUAGGGUAUCUUCCGCAACGGGCGAAAGCCUGACACAGCAAGGCCGCGUGAGUGAUGACGGUCUUCCGUUCGGAAAACUCUGUUUUUAGGUAAGAACAUCUGUCUAAUGAACUGUACAGAUCUUGACGGUACCUAAUCAGAAAGCCCCGGCUAACUACGUG
rnacentral:rRNA from 1 species